GGCUCCAGUGGAGAGAGGGGAGCAGAGCAGGUCUUCUGAGUCUAAAGCGCUGGCUGACUUCGAAGCUGCUGCUCUGCUUACCUCUCUCAGCUCGAGCC